rnacentral:rRNA from 1 species
CUUUACUAUAAGCUGACAUUGUUGUGUUGCCCUGCUUGUGCAGGAUAGGUGGGAGACUUUGAAGCAUGGACGCUAGUCUGUGUGGAGUCAUCCUUGAGAUACCACCUUUGCAUUGCGAUACAACUCACCCUGCUGUAUGAAACGUACUAGGGGACAGUGUUUGCUGGGUAGUUUAACUGGGGCGGUUGCCUCCUAAAAUGUAACGGAGGCGUGCAAUGGUUCACUAGUACCGGAUGGAAAUCGGUAUUGUCGUAUAAUCGCAUAAGUGAGCCUGACUGUGAGACUAACAAGUCGAGCAGGGACGAAAGUCGGUGAUAGUGAUCCGGCAGCCGAGUAUUUUAAAUGCUCAAACCACGUGGGUGGGCUG